rnacentral:lncRNA from 1 species
UAGGACGUGCCGACAGCCUCCGCGAUGCACAAUAGCAGGUGAAUGCAUGAGCGGAGGACGAAUGAAUUUUGAGGUCGGUCGGUCGAACUAUAGUGCAUAAAUUUUUUUGAGGCCACACGUAUUAAUGCUUUACAUGAUUAUAAACAAAAUCACUUAGUACAAUAAAAUAUCUUGUCAAAUCUGCAACUAAAAAGUUCAUCAAUGAAGACACAAGUAUUUGACCAAAUACGAAAAUUUAGAAACAAAUUGAACAUUGUACCAUUCCCCUUUUUACCUCCCAUUCACUUUGUCCAUCACUGAAGAACAGAAUCAAACACAAACGUGAGGCACAUAUGCACGGUCGCACACAUUCAGCGAGCGUGUCCAGCGCCCAACGAGGCAAGCAGGCACCGAGCGUAUCCCGCUGCCUGUCGCCGCCGUUCAGGUUCAGCCGCAGCCAGCUGAUCAGCGUGGCGCCGUGGCCUGAGGCCUGAGCCGCGGCCGAUCGCCACCUCUCUCUGUCCGGUCCGUCCCUCCUCCGACCUCCGGUCUCCUCCCUCUCGCAGUACGUCUACCUCAUUGGCUCCCCGCGACCCCGCUUCGACGCCCCCUAUUCCCCUACUGCCGCCAGGCCCGCCACCAGACUCCGGAGGCCAUAGGCGCUGAAGCGAGGCGCGUUUUUGGACGAUUGGGCGAGCCGGUCGAUCAAUCGAUUCGAGUAUGCAGAUCGCAGGCGGUCAGAAC